rnacentral:lncRNA from 1 species
CUGGCAUUACACGGUUAUUCUGAACUUAAAAAAAAAAAAUGCACGAGGGCGAGUGUAGCGAAUUGUCUUUCAUUCACCGCGGUGACAUUUGAGAGAAAGUGGCCGGAUGUUGAGGUGGUUCAAAGCUCUGCUCGCAGUGUGCCUUUGUCAUUCGGGGCGAUGAGUAAACGUGGGAGGGAGGGAAGGUUGCCGCCUCUUUCCCCGGGGAGCCCCGAGAGGUAAAGCCACGCUGCGUGGAGCCGGGGCGGGAGGGACCGCUCCCCGCUUCGGAGGUCUGCGGGGUUUCUCCCCGGCCCGGCCGCUCUCGCCAGGAAGCGCAAACCCACCCCCGCAGAUGCCGGAGAUUCUCGGCUUUAUAUCUGCAGCAUCAGCGAGAAAGCGCGGCUCGGCGCAGGCUCAGUGCUCACAGCCGCAGUCCCGGCCGGAGGAGGGGGACUCGGCAGCUCAGCAUCUUCGCAGCGGGUUAAGUAGGAUUAAUACCAAAUCCCUAUUAUAUUUGCCAAGCAACUUGAAUUUAUCAAAAUUCCCCCUCGCUGUUCUGGAGCUCCGAGAGGAGGAAAUAUUGCUUACAGUGUAAGAUCCGGACAUAGCAGCAAGCAGGGAAUGCCAGCACACUGCAUCACACUGCUCCCCGCACCAGCCACACAAUCGCAACACGGAGAUCCCACUGUUCCCGUCCCUUUGUGCUUUAAAUGCGAUCGGGACACUAAAUAGUGUCUUUACAUGCAAUCUCUCUCUGAAUGUGCAAUGUCUUUCCUGCUCGGGAGUGCCUCGUCCUUCACAGUGGAUUGGUUCCUCUUUCGGAGCAGAGGGCAGGCAAACGGCGUGGGAAAUGGGCCCGACGUGCACUGCAUGGUGGAUGGCAGUGUCGCUCCGGCUCCACGUGUCGCGGCUGCCGGGAGGGGGCCAGGGCUGGCCUGCCCCCUUCCCCCCUCCCCCCGCAUCCCGCUGCUUCGUUUCGUGCUGGGGAAGUGGGGGGGAAGGGAAGCCCAGCCACCCCCCGGCCCCGCGGAGAGCCGGUCCCAGCGGCUGCGGGCGGGGGAGGGCUCCCCCCACAACCAGCCGGGCAAAGCUGUUGCGCAGCACAGCCCCCCCUGCCCACCCGAUGCGCACAGACGCCCACACGCGCUCAGACGUUUGUCCUCCUGAUCUGGUGAGAUCAAGUGGGAAGCGGGAUCGCCAGCGUAAUCGGCUGUAAUAAAUAAAAUAGCCCGAGAUGCCGGAGAUAUACAGAGGGGAAAUAAGAGCUUGUGUCCUUAAAGGGAACAUCUGAUAAGGCCACGGAGGUGGCAUCGUGCGUGUGGGAAGGAAUCCGUCUUGCUGACAUUCGCAGCCUGCUGUACGUGGGGGAAUCCUAAAGCAGGCUGGGAGCUUCCCCAGCUCCUCUGCACCCCCCAGCGCUGCUUUUCGAAGCUCUGCAACGGGGCUUUCCUACUGUGGUAGUGAUUGGAAAGACGGGGUCACGGCUGAGAUAUGCAGAUGCCAUUAGUGUUUGUUCGGCUAUGUCCCGGCGGUCCCUGCUCCCUCCGCCUUCAGCCCGGAACGGUUCGGUUCUGCAGUUCGGGAAUGUCGGUGCCUCUGACCAGAGAGUUACCUUUCUGGUCUGCAGUGGGAGCCAACCUCAAGAAAAGGGUUAUUUAAUCAUUUAUAUAGCUUUGUGCGUUAAUCAAUGCGUAUUAUUAGUUUGUGCCCACACACGCACGCGCACCAAAGAAGGGGGAAAAAAAUCAGGUGAGCUGGGAAAUAACAUAUUCAUAAUAAUACGAGGAAAAGGUUAAAUACAGUAAACAUGACAGCAAAUUCGAACGCGGGAGAAAAACGACGACAAAACCCCCAUAGAAAGCAGUUAAAACCGUUUGGCUGAAGGGAGAAAGUAACUCAAGAACUCCACCAAGGGACAAACAGAGGAAAUGACACCACAACAGCGCUAAGCCCGCGUUGACCUUUCAUCUCACUAAAGUGUCCCGCUGCUCUGGUGCAGUUCUGCUGUGAUCCCUUCACCUUCCUCCCCUCCCUCCGAGCUCCCGAGUCGGCGGCAGUGUUUGAGCGCGGAGGUCGCAGAAUUACAAGGAGGGCUGACACUUGCCCGGUGCCUUUCACAGCUUUGCAGAAACUCUCACUGUGCAGCAGUGUGGACAAAAAUGAUUAAAUUAUUCAUUGCAGCCUUACUGAUGGACAUUAAAACUUAAGUGUUUAAAUAAGGAAACCGAAGAUUUACUUUUAAGCUGAUAAUAACUGCAUCUGUGCUGGUUGAAUUGAAUGCUGGCUAAAUGUGGAACUGGUUACGUUGUUUAAAUCCUCUCUCUUUUACUCACUGUGAGCAGUGUGAACUGGAUAACACAACUAUGUUACUGGCAGAGCAAACUGUUUAAAUCUUACGUAAUUAUAACUGUUUGCUCUUAAAGCAGUAUUUGAGGUCUGUUCAAAAUAAAAGGUUGUUUUCUUGCAUCAGCAUCAUUUCACCAACCUGAGUUCUUACAUUUACAAAAGAAUGCUUCCAAGUAACAUUAAGGAAAAGUAGUAGUUGCUCUUUUUUAAAAAAUUUAUUUAUUUAUUCCAGUGUAUAUUGCCUCUACAAAUUGCAAUGAAUAAGCUUGAGGCCUUGAAGCUUUUAUUUCCUUUUUGUUUUUUUAAAAAAGUCUCAAUUCCAUAGGAUCAGUUCUGAAGGGACUUUUCCAAGCGGUGUUGUUAGCAGGGGUUUUUUGUUGUUAUUGUUGUUGGGUUUUUUGUUUGUUUGUUUGUUUUCAGGUGCCAAAAUAUCCAAGCAUUCAAAAUCAUGCAGAAGUGUUUCCAGCUGUCUUAGUUUCAACUGGGACAGAAUAUUAUGCUUGAAAUGAGAAGGAAAAAUUAUUGUAAAGUUUUUAAAAAGCGUACAAAUUUUCAUGAGGGAAGGCAGAUAUGGGGUAUCUUUAUGCUUUAUUGAAAACUACUGGAUUUUCUGGAUGUGUAGGAAUACAAGUAACUGCUGUACACUGCUCCAUUAUUUUAUAGAAUUAGUAUUAUUUAUUUAAACUACUCUUCCAUUUUUUAAGUGCAAAGAAAACUGUAGGGAAAAAAAAAGUAGUUAUGGUGUGUGUGCAUGAAUUCAUAGCAAAAACAGGGAAAUUAUGAAUCAUUAGAGUGUAUUCUAUUUAAGGAGAAACAAUGAGACAUUCAGGGGAAAUAAUUAAGGCUGGAUCUAAUGUAAAUGAAAUGUAUUGAAACCAGGUAACACUGACAAAGAAAGAAAAAUGUGUUAAUUGUCAGUGGAAAUAUUAAAUGUUGACAGUUGUUACACAUAUGGACUCACCAGUACAGAACACCACUGUUAAGUUUAGAAAUAAUGUAGGAUUUUUUGCUGCAAUGUUUUAUAUUUUUAAAUGUAUACUUUUUAUAUAAAUUUAAUAUCAGUGGUGAGCACAUUUAAGGUCUCAAAGCACUGUGUAAAUUAUCUCUGUGAGAUGGAGGGAACUGCAGUGACCUGUUCAGUCACCCAGUAAGCCACUAACAAAUGGCUCUUUCCAGGUUCCUCAGACCACAGCUUAGCAGUUCUACAGUUUUUGAAUGUAUCCUGGAUUUGGCUCAGUAUUCUUCUUUUAAUAUGUGGCAGUUAUUUCCUCUUUAUUUUAUGGACUGAUGGAAAGUCAAAGCAGCUCAUUCUAAAGAGAGUUUAAAACAAAUUUGUGUACCAGAGAACUUCACAUACAAAGGAAAGUCUUGUAUCAUGCAACGUAUUGGGUACCAGUAAAACAUAACAAACAGUUAUAUUGGAAUAAGUUAUCCUCAAGUUUUUAUUCUGUCUUAUUUUUGUCAGCUAACCCUAAUACACAGAACAAUAUGCACAGGCUUUCUAAAACAAUUUUGCUUCUACAUACUGAUGACAUUUUCUCAACUUAAUUUCAUUUUUCUCUUCUAUGCUCUACAUGUAUUUAUUUAUUUAUUAUCCAGUUUCAGCUUUCUGUUGGGUAGAAACAGAAAUAUCUGAGCAAGAUGGCAGCUCUGCAGAGCUCAAAGAAAGAAGUUAAUAUAUUAAAAUUCAAGUGCUGUGAUGGACAACUGAAUUCUAUGCAAAUUAAGCCUCUUCUUUUAGGAAAGACGAGGAAUUACCGGAGAGAUUCCAGAGAAGGGCUACAAAGAUGAAUAGCAUCUGGAGCAUCUCCCUUUAUGAAGAAAGACUGAGAGAUCUGAGACGGAGGCUACAGAAGACUGAGAAGGGGAUCUGAUCAAUGCUUAUAAAUUUCUAAUGGUCAGGAGUCAAGAGGACAUGACUAUGCUCUUUUCAUUGGUGCCCAGUGACAGAACAAGGGGCAAUGGAUGCAAACUGGAGCACGGGAAGUUCCAUGCAAGUAUGAGGAAAAACCUCUAUACUUUGGAGAUGACAGAACACUAGAACAAGAUGCCCAGAGUCAACCAGAAAUCUUGAAACACAGAAGACCAGUGUACCUUAUGCUAUCUCAAAAGUAAAAGACAGCACUAAGGGCAAAGCUGUCUCACAGUAUUCCACACUUCUGUUGUAUAGAGAAAGAAUUUAGGAUUUAUCUGACUGUAUCAAUUCCAUGUACUUUAGGGUAUUGAAAUCAUAUGUAGCCUGACAUUGUUUCUAUGAUUUGUUCACCAACUGGCUAUUUUGUAUUCUUAUAUGUUCCUAGCACAGAUGAAUUUUUUUACAUAUAAUCAAACACUCUUUAGGGACUUAAAGUGGAAUAAUCCAAAACACACUAAAUAAUUAUAUUGCUUAAUAAAAAGUUUUUUUUUAAUUUUUUUUUUAUUUUGGGCAAAAUUCCAAUUUCUUUUUAAAACAGAAAAAUUGUUUUCCAGAAAGAGAGCUUGAGGGACUUCUUUCAGGAAACAUUUCCUAACUCUGUUAGUUAAGGUAACUUUAUACCCCCAAGAGCAUUUUAAUCGUCAUCUUUCUAAAUAAGGAGGCUUAAAGUUAGACUUCUUACCUGCUUGCGUAAUCCUUGACUACUAAUUGCUGUAUUGUACAGUCUUUUUCUGGUUUUGCAUAAGACCUCAUCAGCAGAAGAUAACUAUCAACAUUGCAAAAUAAUUGUAGCCAAAAUACUGCUCUCAUCAUUUCUUUAUUUUUCCUGAUUAAAAACGUGUUGGCAGAAAAUGUCUGACUAGACCUAGUACCUAAGCUGUGCAUUUCUGAAGUGAAAACACUAAGGAGUGUUACCGACUUGUAACAUUUGUACAUUUAGCAUACUUAGAGAAGAAAACAACCAUUGAUCUGUGUUUGUUGAAAUAAACAUUGGCAAGAUUGUAGCUAGAAAUCUGCAAUCAGUAACUGUAUUGGUAUUUUGCCAGGAGUUCUCAGCAUCAACUGUUGCUUUAAUCUGACAGAAAGUAGGAAUUACUUCCUAGGCCUGAAUAGCUUCAAAGUUAUUUUUUAUUAAGGUACUGAAGUUUAAUCUCUGGAAUAUAUUUUUAUGAAAAAUAUGAAAGCUAAAUGUAAAAACAUAAUAAUCUGGGCAUAAUUUGUAGUAUUAAUAGAAAUGCUUUCCAUUGAUAAAACAAUCUUAGGUAUUUUAUCAGUAUAAAGUAAUUUCUUUUACCAUUCUGAAAACUUUUAAAAAUAAACACACUAUGUAUUUUUGAAAUGUAACCUUUCCCUUCUCCCCCCCCCAUUUUUUUACAUCUGUUAAUAGUUUACAUUCCCGGCAAAUAAGUCUGGUGUUUAUCAGGGGCUUGAAACAAUUAAGUACAUUUGAAUGCAUAUGGUGCUCUGAAACAUGCUUUACUCCAAGUCUAUAUUGCUAUUGUAUUGCAUUAGGAGUUGAUCUCACUGCUUAAAAGAUGCAUAUAUUUCUCUAGUAGCUAUAAUUAUGUUAAUUAAAAAAAAAUGUAUGAAAGUAUCACUGAUACCAUCCUUUUUAUGAUUAUACAUCAUUGUUCAUGUAUAAACACCAAAAUAAUUCUGGGCCCAAGUUAUAUAAUCAAUGUUACUUUUAUAAUAACUAAUACAGUCAACUUUACUUACCUUAAAUAAUCAAUCCUUAAAUGAUUAUGCCAUUUCAGGUUAAAAAUAUUUAAAACUAUACCAAUCUGUUGAUGAGUGGUAAAAUACAAAAGAUACUGCUGGUACUUCAAAGCAAUAGAAUUAAAAGAGCACCUUACUUUUGGAGCAACCUACAUGUUAUUUCCAUGAAAACUACGAAAGAUACAAAGAGCACAGUAAUACUGUUUGAUAGAGCAAAUUCUCAGCAACAAGGCACUUUUUCCACAUAGUCACCAACUUAGCUAUACAUCUUUGCCAGCAAUAAACAAGAGCCUGCAUACCAUGCUUGAAAAAAUCUACAUCAAUGGAGGUGACCCACUGUUACUGUCAACACUGCUGAAACAUACCACCCUCAUACUCCACUGUGCUCACAUCCACUGUUGGGUUUCCAUAAAUGUUCAGCAAGUGUUGAUGAAUAACAAUGGCUGCCACUUUUUUUUUUUUUUUUUUUUGGUGAAAAAACUUCUGUGCAAAUAGGAGAAAGAGUUGAAAGCUUUCCUGUUUGGGUGGCAUUUGAAAACCAAUUAUUUCCUUUUAGUUCUCUCUUCUUUUUUUCCCCUUAUUCUCAGCAAAAUUAUGUCCCUGAACUAGCCGGGAAACUUUGAAAUUCUUACUCCUAUGAAAACACUGUGGAAUUAAUAUUAAUACAGUAGACCAGUGAAAUCUGAGGUAACUAUUCAACAUCUGCAUUACAGAUCACUGUUGAAGUACCAUAUUAUUUGUUCUAGUAAUAUUAAGUUUAAGUUUCCCAAACCUGGUGUCACCGUUACAGAAUUAUUGUUCUGUGAAGGUUUCUGAAAAACCAAGGAAAAAUUCAGUUUAUACAUUAUUGUUAUUUUAAACAGGCAGAUUUCUCUCAAGCACAGGAUGCUGUAGGAAAAGUGAAACCACAUCUAGACCUGAAGAAAUUGUUAAAAAACUCUUCAUGGGGCACUCCCACCCCUACUGUGAGAUCAAAUCUGACAGCAACAGGUAUAGUGUUGCCCUCCUAGAAGCUUCUGUCUGGCAGAGUAGGAUGCCAGCUGGGGAGAUAUUGUGGGAAACCCCUGGUGAGCAAGUGCAGUAUUUUAUAAUAUCCUUCCAGCUGGCAGACUGCCUAGCAUGGUAUUUCUGUCUGCUCUUCAAAACACUUUAAAAAGUUUAUUAAGAUUACAGGCAGCAACCAUGGCAACUAGUAGGAACUGUAUUUCUCAGGUGCAACAGAAAAGCAUAUAUACAAAUAAAUAUAUAUCAUCCUACAAUACAAGUCAAUCCAAUACUCUAUAGUAAUUUUAAUAUAUAUUGAAUGAAGUGGUACCUGUAUUUUGAGCACUGUAGCUUAAUCCAGAUGGGGAGAGUUCUGGAACAAAGUUAUAUCUUAAUGUUUUUGUACUUUUGCAUUUGUGUAUCAGAUGAUGCAUUUCCC